UACGUAGGUGGCAAGCGUUGUCCGGAAUUACUGGGUGUAAAGCGCGUGUAGGCGGCAGACCAAGUCGGCGGUGAAAGCGCCCGGCUCAACUGGGCGAGGUCCGUGGAAACUGGUCAGCUGGAGGACGGUAGAGGCGAGUGGAAUUCCCGGUGUAGUGGUGAAAUGCGUAGAGAUCGGGAGGAAGGCCGGUGGCGAAGGCGGCGCUCUGGAACGUUUCUGACACUGAGGCUCGAAAGCGUGGGGAGCAAACAGG
rnacentral:rRNA from 1 species